AGAAAUCGUUAAGGGCGUAUGGCGGAUGCCUAGGCUUUCAGAGGCGACGAAGGACGUGGUAAGCUGCGAAAAGCUGCGGGGAUCGGCACACACGAAUUGAUCCGCAGAUGUCCGAAUGGGGCAACCCGGCUGGUUGAAGACCAGUCAUCCCGAUUUAUCGGGAAGCAAACCCGGAGAACUGAAACAUCUAAGUACCCGGAGGAAAAGAAAUCGAAGAGAUUCCGUAAGUAGUGGCGAGCGAAAGCGGAUUAGCCCAAAAGUCUUUAUAUGUUUAAAAGAAUGUUCUGGAAAGAACAGCCAUAGAGGGUGAUAGCCCCGUACUUGAAAGGCAUAUUUAGAUGAUAAAUGAGUAGGGCGGGACACGUGAAAUCCUGUCUGAAUAUGGGGGGACCAUCCUCCAAGGCUAAAUACUCCUGAAAGACCGAUAGUGAACAAGUACUGUGAAGGAAAGGUGAAAAGCACUUCGAAUAGAAGGGUGAAAGAGAACCUGAAACCGUACGCCUACAAGCGGUCGGAGCCCACAAGUUGGGUGACGGCGUGCCUUUUGCAUAAUGAGCCUACGAGUUAAUUUUACUAGCGAGCUUAAGCACUUCAGGUGCGGAGGCGGAGCGAAAGCGAGUCUGAAUAGGGCGCAUAGUUAGUAGGAUUAGACGCGAAACCUUGUGAUCUACCCAUGGGCAGGUUGAAGCUUUGGUAACACAAAGUGGAGGACCGAACCGGUUGACGUUGAAAAGUCUUCGGAUGACUUGUGGGUAGGGGUGAAAGGCCAAUCAAACUGGGAGAUAGCUCGUACUCCCCGAAAUGCAUUUAGGUGCAGCGUCGAUGUUAAGUUUAUUAGAGGUAGAGCUACUGAUUGGAUGCGGGGGAGUCAAAUCCUACCAAUUCCUGACAAACUCCGAAUGCUAAUAAAUGUUCGUCGGCAGUGAGGGCAUGGGUGCUAAGGUCCAUGUCCGAAAGGGAAAGAACCCGGACCAACAGCUAAGGUCCCCAAAUCUAUACUAAGUUGAAACAACGCGGUUGAACUGCAUUGACAGCUAGGAUGUUGGCUUGGAAGCAGCCAUUCAUUUAAAGAGUGCGUAACAGCUCACUAGUCGAGCGGUUCGGCAUGGAUAAUAAUCGGGCAUAAGUAUAGUACCGAAGCUAUGGAUUUAUAACUUUUGAGUUAUAUCUGGUAGGGGAGCAUUCUAUUUGCGCCGAAGCAGUAUCGUGAGGUAUUGUGGAGCGGAUAGAAAAGAAAAUGUAGGCAUAAGUAACGAUAAAGCGGGCGAGAAACCCGCUCACCGAAAGACUAAGGUUUCCUCAGCCAUGCUAAUCAGCUGAGGGUUAGUCGGGACCUAACGCGAACCCGAAAGGGGAAGUGGAUGGACAAUGGGUUAAUAUUCCCAUACUUGCUCACACUAAAAAGGGGACGGAUUUACGUACUUGCUGGAGACUGACGGAAUAGUCAAGGCCUAGCCUUCGGGCGAAGCUGCUGCAGGGAAAUAGAUUCCAAGAAAAGCCGAAGUGAAGCAACCCGUACCAAAACCGACACAGGUAGUCGAGGAGAGAAUCCUAAGGUGCUAGAGUGAAUCAUGGUUAAGGAACUAGGCAAAAUAGUCUCGUAACUUCGGAAGAAGAGACGCCAUCAGCAAUGGUGGCCGCAGUGAAGAGGCCCAGGCGACUGUUUAUCAAAAACACAGGACUCUGCUAAAUCGAAAGAUGCUGUAUAGGGUCUGACACCUGCCCGGUGCUGGAAGGUUAAGGAAGGUUGUUAGCGUAAGCGAAGCAAUUAACUGAAGCCCCAGUAAACGGCGGCCGUAACAAUAACGGUCCUAAGGUAGCGAAAUUCCUUGUCGGGUAAGUUCCGACCUGCACGGAAAUGGCGUAA
rnacentral:rRNA from 1 species